rnacentral:lncRNA from 1 species
UUUAUUUUAAUACCCAAUAGACAAUAGCCCAUUGCCCCAACACCCAAUUAUACAACAAAAUGAACAUAAUAGGACCAUAAGAGAAUAAGAAUUGAAACCCUACCCUAGGACCUGAAGCUCCUGAACGGCCGAACGCGAAACGCCCUCAUGCACAGGUUUGAAUUUAUAAUUUCUUUGUUUUAAAUUUCAGUUAAGUUCAUGUAUGUGUUUGUUGUUUGGGCUUCUGGGAUUAAAUUUCAAUUAAGUUCAGAUUUAUUGUUGGUAUCAAAUUUUAUUUUAUUUUAAUUUUAAUUUUUUUAAGGUUAAUCAUGUGAAGGGCUUCUGGGGACUCGGCAAUAGGACUCUAAAUUUACUCAAGAAAUACAAUGAAAUACUAGGGCUGGGUCACUGGAGAGAAAUUUCAACUAUCAAAGUGGGACUAAUUGCAAGAUAUUUUGAAGAGGACAGAGUUAAGAGGGGUAUGGCAAAAUAUAUUUCACAAUAAGUACAAUAGUGACUAUUAUGAGUGAAGGAAUGAAGCAAAAAACACAUGGACAGAGAGUUGCAAUUAAUUUGCUUUCCAUAAAUUCAUCAACCUGACAACCUCGUAUCUUCAAAUUUUUCGAUGAUGGUUAGAGUAUAGCUUGAUGCUGUUAAAGAAGAGUUUGCCAUUUAUGGUGGUAUUUUGUGAAGGGUAGCGACUGUAGACAGUAGACUGGUUGGCGACGACGUUGACGAGGUGGCUAUAGAUUUGGUUUUGGGUUUAGGGAGUCGGGUGGGGUGGGUGUAGGGAAGUGAUUUUGAGUUAAUUUGUAGAAAUUAUUUUUUAAUUUCAUAUCGAUAAAGGUUUGUUCGGUGAUAUGGAGUUCACAUGUACACGUCUCUUUAACAUGUGAAUGAAGAAUUUUAACAACCACCGACUGGCCCACUGGGAUUAUGUAAUUAGAGUUUUGUGAAUUGCGUUUAGAAUAAUUCUGGAGUUUGUCAUUCUAAAAAACUUUUUAUUUAAUAUUUUUUAGCUUUGCUGAAUAUGUUUAGUUUUAAAUUUUUAAUAAGAUUUAUUUGUGGAACUGUGUACUUUUUUUAAUUGGAAUUUGGCUUUAGUGAACCCAUUAACGAGUUAUGGCAUCACAUAUUAAUGGCACUUUGGACAUGAGCAAAUCCUUUGUACAGAGAAUGAAGUUUAACUUUGAUAUUUAUGUGUUUUAGUCACUAAUUUAAACCAUUUAAAAGCAGAAAGAGUCACAAUUAAAGUUACUACAAAUUAAUGUCUGUUCGAUUAGGUUUCUUUCCGCCGUUCUAUUUUCCUUUCUGACAUAGUUUUGUAAUAGGAAUGCUUAACUAAUUAUUUUCUUAAGCUUAGAGCUGUGAGAUUAUAAAAAUUGAGAUAUUCUUUUGGCAUUUUAGUAUCAAAAUGACAGUUAGCAUUUAAGUGUCAAAAUGAGAGUUACCUAACUUACCUUGUCUUCAUGUGAUUUAAAUGUUGUUUACUUUGGGUUUGGAUAUAUCCUUCACUUUCAUUCCCUGUCCAGAUUUACAAUGCAUCUCUCUCUCUGACUCUCUCUCUCUCGAUCUCUACAGAUUCAGUGAUCUCAUUGAAUAGGGCCGGAAACAGUUUUAUUGUUUGGGAUUUUUACAAAUUUUCCACUAUUCUGCUGCCUAUAUACUUCAAGCACAGCAAUUUUUCCAGUUUCAUUAUGUCUGGUGAAUCCAAUACUUUUUCUUGUAAGUAAUUGAUCAUUUAUAAUUAUCUUCUGCCAUUUAUGUAUACUUAUGUUUAAUACGAUAUUUGGAUCUGGAUAUGAGUUUAUGAUAAUUCUUAGAUUUGGUGUUAAUUUUUAACUAAUUAUAAUAUUUUUGAAAGGUUAGAUAAGUGGUUAAAAUGUUGCUAGCGGAUUGUUUUUGGAUUGUUGGGAUACUAAAGUAUUUUAAUUUUUUUUAUGCUUUUAGAUUUUAAUAUGGAACCAAAUCGACCUCUUGUCAAGAAAGGAAGAACCAAAUCGACCCCUUGCCAAGCUUGCAGAGAAAUUUUAUCCUCAAGAUUUUACACAGCAAAAUAUUUAUAGUUUGAAAGUUGAGUUGCAACAUUAUCAGCAUGAUGUGAUUUCUGAGCCUCAAUUUCAAGUAUAUACACUUUUUGAUUUAUGUCAAGAAUUUGUUGCAAGUAGAAGAUCGGAGAGUUACGUCAAUUUGACUAAAUUGAUUCGUCUAGUAUUGACACUGCCUGUUUCAAUGGCUACCGUAGAGCGAGCAUUUUCUGCAAUAAAACAUGUGAAGACGAAAAUUCGUAACAAAAUGGAUGAUGGUUUUCUUGCUGAUUGUAUGAUACUUUACAUUGAACGAGAAUUUUCUUUGAAUUUAGAUUUAGAUUCUAUUAUUGAUGAAUUUUAUGCUAUAAAGCAUCGUCGGGUACAACUGUAACUGAUAAUAUUAUAUUAUGACUUUUUUUGUUAUUUAUGAAUUUUAUUCGUACAUUAAAUUUCUAAAGUUUUGUCCCCCGUGACAUUAAUUCCUGGCUCCGUCCCUGCUGACCAGCCUAAACAUGUGCCUAACCUUAAACAUAAAGAUAAGGGAUUUGUAGGACAGAGAUCUACCAAACAGCGUAGGACUUGUCGACUUAGGAAUAGAUGUCAGUGAUCACACAACAUUAGUCCUAGGUUUAUCCCUACAUGCUUUCCCCGUGGUAAGUUAGGACACAUACGCCAUAGGUGUCAUCAAUUCCUGAACAGAUAGAGAAAGCUUAAAGAGAA